CGUUUGUGCAAAUUCACUAACUAGAGCUACCUUUAUAAUAAAACUUCAAACCCUAGUUUCUAAACAAAAAGAGCAGCCACUCCCUCAUCUCAUUUCAGCCGACACCCCUCUUUCCUUUUCUUCCUUCACUCUCGAACACAUAAACCAAAUCACAGGGAACCAAACCUGUCAUCUCUCCCUCUCCGAUUUGGGUUCACCGACGAGUCAACCACGACGGCGCUUCGUUUUCUGGCGAUUCAGAGCUGGUCGAGCUCCAACUGAUGUGGAUUCAGUCCAAUUCCUGUUCGAGUCUCCAUUUCGGGUUAGAUUUGAGACCAGACCUUGUGUUGUUUGCUCCGACGACUCUCUUCCGGUUCAUUAACGAUGGCAUAACCGUCGAACGUCGAGAACAGCAGCGGUGCUGGGCGUUUCGUCUGCGGCGGCGACGGCGAAGUGGGUUCAGCUCCGGGUUGUUUUCAUCUCAGACCCGGUACAGUGGUGGUGUUAGCUCGGGUUGGUAACGGGACUGGUUCUGUUUAGAUUCCGGUUCGGGUCGUCUAGAAUCGAUCUUGCUUCAGGUCAGUUUUGGAUUCGGAUUGUAUUUUGUUUAAAUUCCGAUUCAGCACAGGUUGUUUUAUUAUUUCAGUUCGUUCGGGUUCACGACACGGGGUAGCUCGGUUCAUUCGUUUCAGUUUUGGUUUCGGUUCUAUGUUCGGGUCAAAUCUGGUCAACAACGGUCAAAUAGUCAACACGGGUCAAACCCGGUCAACUGACGGGUCGACGGUUCAUCCGAGACUUGGGUGACCUCGGUGUUCCAUCCUCCAAAUCCCUUUCACUCGUCAACAAUCGGAUAAUCGGAAGAAUUUGCAAUAUUGUGAACAUUGUAUACGCAGAUUAGUUUCGUGAAAUGGGAAGUAAAGGAGAAGCAGAAGAAAGAAUCCUUGAUCUGAACCCAAAUAAAGAUAAAAGAUAAGCGGUAGAACUGAAUUGGGGAUGCAGGUAAUGGAUCCGAACUAUUUUCUUAGUUUUUUUUGGGGAUCUUGACUCUUCACUUGGGGUUUUUGUCUUGCAUCUUUGGAUGAUUAAUAUUGUAUAUGUACAUUUGUUUUGAGGUUUGUGAUAUUAGGGCGUGGAGAUAAAUGAUUACUUGGUGUUGCAUCACUGAUUGUUGAUAUAGGUGCUGCUAAUGUAGAACCGUGGAUGAAGCAGAGGAAGACCAAAGAAGAAAGUUGUGAGAUGUAGGAUUCUACAAUCUACAUCCAUCGCUUUUUGACAGAUACAUACUACAUCAUGAUUACUUGAAGUUGCAUUAGUUAUGGUGGUGGUCCUUGAGUCAAUUGGAGCAGCGAGAUGAGACGAAUUUUGACCGAUGGCAGCCUCGCGGUGGCUGUUUGAACCAGAAUCGGUGAAGACGGCUACGUAUGAAUCAUAAUCACUGAAGGGCGGUAUGAUGAGAGAUGUGAAAAUGAUGAACUUUGUAGGGACCCUCCUAUUACAUCGGUAUUUGGCACUUCUGUAUACAUGUUAAUAAAUUUAUGACUUGAGGGGUGUUUGGCAUUA